AUUGAACGCUGGCGGCAGGCCUAACACAUGCAAGUCGAGCGAGCGGCGGACGGGUGAGUAAUGUAUGGGGACUGCCCGAUAGAGGGGGAUACCUACUGGAAACGGUAGCUAAUACCGCAUACUAACGGCUAACCCAUAUUGGAUUAGCUAGUAGGUGAGGUAAUGGCUCACCCAGCCGACGAUCCCUAGCUGGUCUGAGAGGAGGAUCAGCCACACUGGGACUGAGACACGGGCCAGACUCCUACGGAGGCAACAGUGGGGAAUAUUGCACAAUGGGCGAAAGCCUGAUGCAGCCAUGCCGCGUGUAUGAAGAAGGCCCUAGGGUUGUAAAGUACUUUCAGUCGGGAGGCGUUACCGACAGAAUAAGCACCGGCUAACUCCGUGCCAGCAGCCGCGGUAAUUC
rnacentral:rRNA from 1 species